UCAGGAUGAACGCUGGCGGCGUGCUAACACAUGCAAGUCGAACGGACCGUAUCGCAAGGUGCGGUUAGUGGCGGACGGGUGCGUAACACGUAGGUGACCUGCCCUGGAGUGGGGAAUAAUUCCGCGAAAGCGGGACUAAUACCGCAUGAGAUCGCCCAUUCGGUUGGGUGAUGAAAGCAGCGAUGCGCUUUAGGAUGGGCCUGCGGCGGAUUAGCUAGUUGGUGGGGUAAAGGCCUACCAAGGCGAUGAUCCGUAGGGGGCGUGAGAGCGUGACCCCCCACAUUGGCACUGAGACACGGGCCAAACUCCUACGGGAGGCAGCAGUGAGGAAUAUUGCACAAUGGGCGAAAGCCUGAAUGCAGCAACGCCGCGUGAGGGACGAAGGCCUUCGGGUCGUAAACCUCUUUUCUGAGGGACGAGACAAGGACGGUACCUCGGGAAUAAGUCUCGGCUAACUACGUGCCAGCAGCAGC
rnacentral:rRNA from 1 species